rnacentral:rRNA from 1 species
AAGCGCCCCAACCACAUCCAUCUCUCUCUCUCUCUGUCUCUCUCUCUCCUGCGACUCCUCACCACCGCCGCCGCCAUCGCAAACUGCGCCGGCUGAUUCCGGCGACUCACGGCGGCGCGCAGCACACAUCCGUGCUCGCUUCGCUACACUCCGUCCUCUCCUCCGUCCAGAUUCGUCGCUCCGCUCCCAUCCCCUCCUCCGUGGCUAGGCUAGGGUUUCGGCCUCCCCAUCUCCGGCCACCGGAGCCCCUUCCUUCCCCUUCUCCAGCCGGCGGACGCCCCUCCCCUCCCAUCCCGUCAUCAGGAGAGGAGAGGAGAGGAGAGGGAGAUCCAGCAGGGCAGGCCAUGGCGCCGGCCAGAACCGCGCCGGGACUGAACUGGACCAAGAUCGUGUCGUCAGGAAACCAACCCCAUGGAGCUGCUCUCUGUUGCUCCUCCAGGUUGGCAGGCAGGUGCACUGAUUAUCCAUCACUAGCAGCGCCAUGGACCAGCUAAAGAUCUGAUCAACACAGCUCGCUAUAUAUCUUGGAGCAAAAAGUUUUGGAUGCAGACAACCGUGCCGUGUUGGUUUCUUCAUAGUACACGUGCUGCCAGCCGUGUAGGUUCCACUCUCCCAGCCAUGUGAUGCCAGCGAUUUCGCUCGCCACGCUGUGAAUGCGGCGGUGGCGAUACCCGCCCUCGGCUACAACUUGCACUAGAUUUGGCCUCUGGAUGGAUGCUAUGGUUCCUGUAAUGUUGCUCUGUUGGGUUCUCUCAAGCUGGAUAUUGGAGGACACUAAAGGCUGCGGUCAUGGGCCACAUUCUCUUGCGGAACUUUCUUAUUGGCUUCAUAGCAGCAAUCUCCAGGAUCUUUCUAUGGAAUUCAAGGGUUAUGUCUUCAAGAUCAUGAGUGGUUGCAAUAAGCUGGGCUUCCCUAUGAAGCAAGAAGUGCUAACUUCUGGUACGCCAUCUGCUUCACAGGGGGCAACGGUGGUGGCCAGGCCAUGUGGGUCCAUUUAUCUUGUUGUGGUCCAUGAAGGGCAACGGUGGCCAGGCCAGGCCAUGUGGGUCCUCAGGAAAGGAAGGAAUGGAUCUCCUGUGUAUCUAGGUUCUCUCAAGCUGGAUAUUGGAGAACACUAAAGGCUGCGGUCAAUGGCCACUUUCUCUUGUUGAACUUUCUUAUUGGCUUCAUAGCACCAAUCUCCAGGAUCUUUCAAUGGAAUUCAAGGGUUAUGUAUUCAAGAUCAUGAGUGGUUGCGAUAAGCUGGGCUUCCCUAUGAAGCAAGAAGUGCUAACUUCUGGUCCGCCAUCUGCUUCACAGGGGUCAACGGCGGUGGCCAGACCAUGUGAGUCCAUUCCUGAUGUGUCCUCCCUCGCGUUUCUUGCACGGGCAGAAUUACCUUGGCGGGUAGAGCAUACGACGAAAAAGGUGCGGCGGCGCUAGAGUGCGGCCAGCUGAUCGAGGGAGCUUGGAACGAUGCUCGGUGGAAUGUCGUUAUGAGCGUGGAGAUGCUGCUCCGGUGAGGUUGUUGGUGGUGACCACAGUGAGUAUAUUGCGACGUCUCCCACGACACGUUAUACAGCUAUGAAGACUCUUGUUUCUACUGCUCGCAAGAGUAGGCGCCCUUGCAUUGUUGGUGAAUCUGUUCUGGUGUGCAAUGAACGUCGUGCUGCAGACGACCUUGGCUUGUCAGGUAAUAUUGCAUCAUCUUCCCCUAAAUUUCUAGUCCUUCCUUCCUGAUCAUUUUGAUUCUCAUUUAUUUAGCGUUGCUUAUGAUUUGGGUAUUAUAUUUUAUUCUCCUAGUUGUAACAUGUCUAGUUUACUUUAUCCAUGCUAAUGAAGUAGCUCAAGCUUCUCUAGCUAAAUUGUGUGUGGUUCGACUAAGGGUGUGGUGCUUGCUGGGUAGGAGGUCCAGGAUGGUAGUGGCCACUUGGGUCCUUGCGCUUUUCCUCAUUCUAUACAAUCUAAUAGUUGGGUGGCCCCUAGUAGGUAUAGUCUCCGUAUCAAAAACCUUUCUUAUAGAUGAUUCUUUUUCUGGAACAUGAGAGAUUUUUGCACUAGGGGGUGCCGUAACCAACAUAGAGAUUAUGUUGGUGAUGUCCAUGUUGAUUUGGGUUGCCUCCAGGAAACCAUAAAAUCUACAUUUUCUUUGAUCACAGGUUUGUUUUGUUUUGUGUGUAGGUGGUUUCCUACUUCUGGUCACUCUAGUGAUUGGGGCUAAAGUGGAGGUUUUUGAUUAUGUUGCUUUUUAUCAUGGGCAUAUCUUUGCCGGUAUGGCGCUUUCUCAGCCAAACCUUAACAAGUUCUGGGAAAUGGUAGUUUUGUAUGGGCCUGUUGACCAUUCCCACAUCUGGAAUCUUUUUAACUGGUUGGUUCACUUGUGGAUGCUUACUUGUUAACAUAUCUAGUCGAUAAUUGAUAUACUGAAACUGCUAGUUGGGUCCGCAUGUAGAGGUUGAUACCUGUAGCUAUUGUGGUGAUUUUGAAUUGCUUUGUGUCUUGUUGCUUGUGCUUUUUUUGGGGAACGUAGCAGAAAUUCAAAAUUUUCCUACGUGUCACCAAGAUCUAUCUAUGGAGAAACCAACAAUGAGGGAAAGGAGAGUGCAUCUACAUACCUUUGUAGAUCGCUAAGCGGAAGCGUUCAAGAGAACGGGGUUGAAAGAGUCGUACUCGUCGUGAUCCAAAUCACCGGAGAUCCUAGUGCCGAACGGACGGCACCUCCGCGUUCAACACACGUACUACCCGGUGACGUCUCCCAUGGCUUGAUCCAGCAAGGUGAGAGGGAGAGGUUGAGGAAGACUUCAUCUAGCAGCAGCACAACGGCGUGGUGGUGAUGGAGGAGCGUGGUGAUCCAGCAGGGCUUCGUCAAGCACCGCGGGAGAGGAGGAAGAGAGGUAGGGCUGCGCCAAGGAGAGGUCAAACUCAUCUGUUGGCAGCCCCAAAACCCUCAAGUAUAUACAGGGGGAGGGGAGGGGGUUGCGCCCCCUCUAGGGUUCCCUCCCCAGGGGUGGCGGCAGCCCCAGAUCCCAUCUGGGUGGCGGCCAGAGGGGGAGAGAGGGGAGGCGCGCCUGGGGUGGGCCUUAGGGCCCAUCUGCCCUAGGGUUUGCCCCCUCCCACUCUCCCUUGCGCCUUGGGCCCCUUGUGGGGGGCGCACCAGCCCACUUGCGGCUGGUCCCCUCCCACACUUGGCCCAUGCAGCCCUCCGGGGUUGGUGGCCCCACUUGGUGGACCCCCGGGACCCUCCCGGUGGUCCCGGUACGUUACCAGAAAAACCCGAAACUUUUCCGGUGACCAAAACAGGACUUCCCAUAUAUAAAUCUUUACCUCCGGACCAUUCCGGAACUCCUCGUGACGUACGGGAUCUCAUCCGGGACUCCGAACAACAUUCGGUAACCACAUACAAACUUCCUUUAUAACCCUAGCGUCAUCGAACCAUAAGGGUGUAGACCCUACGGGUUCGGGAACCAUGCAGACAUGACCGAGACGUUCUUCGGUCAAUAACUAACAGCGGGAUCUGGAUACCCAUGUUGGCUCCCACAUGUUCCACGAUGAUCUCAUCGGAUGAACCACGAUGUCAAGGACUCAAUCGAUCCCGUAUACAAUUCCCUUUGUCUAACGGUAUUGUACUUGCCCGAGAUUCGAUCGUCGGUAUGCCGAUACCUAGUUCAAUCUCGUUACCGGCAAGUCUCUUUACUCGUUCCGUAACACAUCAUCCCGUGAUCAACCCCUUGGUCACAUUGUGCACAUUAUGAUGAUGUCCUACCGAGUGGGCCCAGAGAUACCUCUCCGUUUACACGGAGUGACAAAUCCCAGUCUUGAUUCGUGCCAACCCAACAGACACUUUCGGAGAUACCUGUAGUGCACCUUUAUAGCCACCCAGUUACGUUGUGACGUUUGGUACACCCAAAGCAUUCCUACGGUAUCCGGGAGUUGCACAAUCUCAUGGUCUAAGGAAAUGAUACUUGACAUUAGAAAAGCUUUAGUAUACGAACUACGAUCUUUGUGCUAGGCUUAGGAUUGGGUCUUGUCCAUCACAUCAUUCUUCUAAUGAUGUGAUCCCGUUAUCAACAACAUCCAAUGUCCAUGGUCAGGAAACCGUAACCAUCUGUUGAUCAACGAGCUAGUCAACUAGAGGCUUACUAGGGACAUGGUGUUGUCUAUGUACCCACACAUGUAUCUGAGUUUUCUUUGAAUACAAUUAUAGCAUGGAUAAUAAACGAUUAUCAUAAACAAGGAAAUAUAAUAAUAACUAAUUUAUUAUUGCCUCUAGGGCAUAUUUCCAACAUUUUUUCCACAUAUUCGGUGGUACAUAAACGUUCAAAAAGUUAGUCUAAGUUAUUAUCCGGGAUUGAUGUGCUAUCUUAGUUUGUAUUGUUAUGUUGGAAAAUUGGAAUACAUUGAUAGCAUGUGUUUUUCUAUUACUUAUUGUUACAAGAAUUUAUAUUGACUGUAAUGGUGUUGAGCUGUGAUUGAAAACAUCUAGCAAAAUAUGUUCCAUUUAUUUGCUGGGUGUUGGUUCUUCAGCAACACACUACAGUAUUUCAUUGAUUUGGUUGAUGCUUGUUUGGUUGAUGCUGGUAUAAUAGGUAGUUGCAUGCAUUUAUUUAUCAUGCUACCACUAGACUGCCUGAUAAAAACUUGCUGAAUAUAUAUAUCUUUGACUAGCAACUGAUGGAAUAUAGCUCAUGUUCAUGUAAAUUCCCAUCCCACUCAAAGUGUGAAACACUUAUUCUUCUUCUUUGUACUCAACAUCCAGGCAUCACACCUGAAUAUAUAUAUGCACAUAUUUAUGUAUGUAGUUAUCUGUCACACGCAUGAAGCAGUCUUGUUCGUUUUGGGAUGUAGUAUCACCACUUAAUUUGUUCCCUGUCUGCCUCCUUCCUAAAAUUCUGACUGUAUAUAUAUGGUAUGUGUACCAUCCAUGAUAUGCACUUGCUCCUGAUCUCAUGUUGGUCUUGUUUUUAUUUCAUGGCUUCCUAUUCGUGUAGUUCCAAUGUCAUUGGGUCUUGUUUGUAGAAUGAUGAGUCACGCCGCAGUUGAAAGUGGGCAUAAGUGGGACCGAUUGAGCCCAUCCCACUUAAUCAUCUUAGUGGGCACCCUUUGGACAACAGAAAAAAAAUAAGUGGGCUAUUCCAUUUAGCCCUCUGGGAGCCCAAUCUACAUAGUUUUCUCAAGUAAAAAAGGAAAACGAAUUACGGCGCCGCUUUCACGGGAUAGGGUUCGAUCCGCGCCCCUCUAGUUUGCCUGCAGGUGGCGCAAUGCUCCUCCUCUCGCCUCUCUUCUCCCUCGCCUUGUACGACGGAGAACUGACCACCGAGGUAACCCUGCCUCCUGCUCCGUCCUUCCCCUCUCCUCUCAUCCAAUGACCUUAUUCGUGGGCACCUUGGACAUAGGAUGAAGGAAGGGAGUGAUCGUCAGAUAGGAGAGAUGGGACCAUUUCCUCUAUCUCUACGAUAAAAUCAUCUGAGAGAGAGAGGAGCUUCGGGCUUAUUACAGUUUCAGAGUUGUACUGUACCACCUCAGUGGUGACUGUACCGUCGACAUGCCUUGACAGUUUCAGUCUUUCAGAGCUUUGGGCUUUAACAACAACCUAUUUCGUUACCUUGAUUAAACUUCUUGUUGACUUCCAUUUCUUUCCCUUAGCAUGUGAAUGCCUCUCUGUUUCCUGGAAGAUCAAUGCUUUUGUUUCAUUUUGCUCGAGUGUUUGUUGUGUUCAGCUCAGCUCAGCUCCUUGCCAUUUUCAUUCAACCAAGAAAGGAAUAAGGAAUCCUUGAUGUUUUUUGUAUACUGCUUUUGCCACAUCUUUCCUGGUUAAUUCUAGCUUGUUGCCUUGUUCUGUGAAUUAAUUCAUGCUACAUUUGUUUGGAUAGACUAGUAUUUAUAAGGUCAAGGGCCUGUGCUGGAGACUUUAUUCAAGUUUCUUUGAUGUUAACUGCUUGCACACCAAUAUCCUUAUAUACAAUUGUUUUUUAUGUAUAGGGUAAGAACAUGAUUUCAACGAUAGAGUAUGAUAAGUUACAACAAGUGCAUAAUUACAGACUUAUUUAUGUGUGCAAAAAUGGUGAAACCCCUUGCCGCAUUAUACCGGCAAUCUAUGGUUUAUUUUUUUUUAAUAGUAGCCUACUGAAAGUUUUUAAAAGAAAAAUAAGGGCUUAUGUUUUUCCAGCCCAACCAACUGGAGAUGUACAAAAGUACCAAUGUCCAAUGAGAAGCCGAACGAACACGUGUAGAAGUCUAGAUGUAGGCUGCUAGUGUUAAUGAGGUCCUUCCAAGUUUGUUUCUAGAAUAGUAGUACCCUUUAUUACUAUGUAUAAAAUAGAGAAAAAAACUUCUUGUCAAUACACACCUGAUCCCAUUUUUUCUGUAGUAGUCAGUGUUAGAUUCCAUCGCAAUGUUUUGAAACAUUUAAUUUCACACAAGUCAUCCCUUUCGUCUGUUGACUAUUUUGUUUCUUCCAAAAAGCUUCCUCUUUUGAUUUCUGACAAAGAUGUCUUAGCAAAACGAUAGCCAGUUGUUUCGGUGUUGGACAAAGAUGUGUGUUUAUGCAUGGUUUUGAUUCGAUUGCUUGCACAUAUCAAAGACUUUCUAGCAUCAUUAUCCAAAGGCAUUUUGAGCUCAGUGUUUGUGCCAAGUCAAAUAUGCUCAUCUCCUCGCCUUGUCAUUUCCAGCAGUGCUACCUUGGAGAUCAUGCAAGGAUCAUGAACAUGCUUAAUUUUUCAUUUUGACGUUGUCGGUUCGUUCGUUCUUUGCCCCAUGCUUGACAAAUAUGAAGGAUUUAUAGUUUUGCUAGUGCUAAUAGAUUUUAGUUGUUUUUCAGGUCAUGUCAUGGUAGUAGUUUAGUAGUACAUAGAUCAAAUAUAUAGAGAGAGCUAGUAUCUUAUAAUGCUUAGACAAACUAUAUUCAUUCUCUCAAUUGUUAAGUUGAAAAUACAUGAAGAUAUGUGUUAUGACUGAACUAUUGUGUGGAUGGGCUGGUGUGGGAUAUAUACUACAUUGUCCUGCUCCUCUGUACUCUUGUUGUGGGCAGCUGCUGAUCCUUUGUUUGUUUGAUUUUUUUUGUAUGUUUGGAGUGAUCAUUGAGCAACUUGGCCAAGAACUCGCCCAACCUGAGGGUGGCCCACAUCAUAAUCAAAGAAGAUGGUGGUGGAUGAGACCGGUGCUGCUUUUGUGAUGAGCAAAACAAAAACUUGGUGGUCGCCGGCCGUGGCCUCCUACGCGUGCGCAGCCGUAGCCUUGGCUAGUGGCCUCGGCUACAACUUGCAAAGGGAGCUCCCCCCUUGCUCUGAGCACAUGGACAUCGAGCCAUGGCUAUUUUACACCAGGUUUAAUGUCCAUGUCUGGUUAUGGUUUGGACUGGUGGUACAGUCAUGGCAUAAUGACUCCAGGUUAUGCUUGGAUGGAUUUAAUCUUUCUAAAAUAUGAGAUUUUUUGUAAAGAGCUAGUCUUGUAGGGUUUCAAUUGUCUAAAGAUUGUGGUUUUGAGAAGAUUGUUACCUUUCUGGUUUUAUGGCUGAUGUGGUCAGUAGAGAUCCAUGCGUGUUGUAUUUCCUAGUGGUGAUAUGAUGAACUAUAGAUUUGGAAGUUUGCUUUGUACAACUGCACUAUAGAGUUGGAUGUUUUUCGUGGUUGCGUGAUGUCGAUGAUGAUUACUGUGAAGCUUUCUCAAUGUAAUCACUAAUGAUUGCAUAACCUACUGCUUUCCUUCUGAGGCAUAAUGUCCCUCUCAAUUCUUCUCUCUUGAAAUAGUGGUUUUGCGUGAUCCCUUGUGACAGAAAUUAUUCAGACUUCAAGAUGCAAAGGUAAAACAAUUUUUGAUGCUGCUGUUUAGGUUAGAUAGUCACACUUUUAUUUCUGUCAAUUGCAUGGCAUGGUAUCUAGACUAGGUGUCCUUGAUGUUCUCAAUAUAUUCAUGCCUUUUUAUACCUUGAAUGAUCCAUCAGCAUCCUGUAAAGACUAGUCUCACUGAUGGUAAUAUUUAUAAGUAUACAUGUUAUCAGAACACACAAAAUGAACCCUGUAUUGCUUUGUUCAUUUCAAUUUCGUGUAUUGUGCUAUUGUUUUACUCCGAGUUGGCCUGAUCCGGUUUUUUCCACAAAUGCAGGUGCCAUUGUUGUUGAUUCCAUUGUUCAUGGCCAUCUGAAAAGCUAAGGAACUGUUCAAACCUUGAAAUAAACUUGAACACCCUGCAGUUGUGUAAUUGAGGAGCCCCAUGACAUCAACAAGAAUGACGACGAUGAUGCGGAGGAGGAGGACCUCAACUACACACCACACAAAGUCCCUAUUGUUUGUCGGCAAUGGCUUCCUUGCCUGCAGCAGGUAGCAUUCGGUUACUGCUGCAAAUGCCAACGGAAGAAAAUAUACAUAUGAAAUGCUACACUUGCACUCAGGAGUGUGAGAAAUUUUGCCCAAUUUCAUUGCCAUGUUCAUCAUGUCAUUUACCCACAAAUUAUCAGUUAUUUUAUGCUAUAUGAAGUUGUUCCUCUCUUGAUUUUUCAUGGUAGACGGAAUUGUAUGAUUUCGGAUAGUACUUUAUCAAAUUCAAACCAUACAACAUCACCCACGUCCCUCUAUGCAGAGCAGUUUGCAACUGAACCCAUCUCUAGUACUGGAUCUCCAGUACUAGCUUCUUUCAUGUGCCCUUGAGUAUCCAGCUCAACUGAUUCAAGUUCUUGGACAAUUAAUUAAGCACUAUAACAAAUUAAUGAAUGCCCUCCUUGUUCUUCUAGCUAGUAUACAUUACUACUGGAUGGUGAUCAAUUUUAGCCAGCCAUUCUUCCAUGCCCCCUCUCUCCACCCACUCACUUGAUAAUCUCCCUGCACCAUCAAUCCAUCUCCUUUAGCAACUAGCUGUUGCAAAUGGCACCAGAUUUAAUUCUGAAUGUAUGCUUAGUUAUUCAGCAUGCUUGAAGUCCCAGCCUUUUGUGUCUGGUCAGUUAUUUUCGUAGCUCAUAAUAUGCUCAACUUCUCAGGAAAGUAAUUGACGUUUUAGCGUUAUGGUCACCGAGUUUCCUCUUGUUCAGUAGGCGAAAGGGAGGUUAUAUUGAAACGCUAUACUGGUGCCCUUGUUGAAAUCGAGUGCCCAUGUUGUGUGAUAUACAAUGUUGCUGUGUUGUGUCUCUUGUGUGGCCUAGUUUAAUAUUAUGUUUGUAUUUCUGUUUGCGGUUGUGUGCUAGAGUCUAAUUAGUUACGUGAAUAGUUAACUUUAAGAUGUUGAUGUGUCAUAGAAAAGAUGAUUUCUUGUGUUGUGUACUUUCGGAAAUUAACGCAAUGCUAAAUGUAUGUAGGCUUAAGAAAUUGAUCAAGGUAAGCCAUUAUAUCUCUUUGCUUGUUUUUUAAAUUGUCACUAUGUCGGAUAAUUAUUUGAUUGUGAAGUAAUAGUUCCUUGCUUUUGUCUAGUAUUAAGAAACAGUUUGUUGAAACAACCAUUAGUCUCUCCUAGCUACAGAAACUGCCUAUAUGCAUUUGCUUAGGCUUGGAGCCUAACUCAUGUCUCGGGCAUGAACUCUCCCUGCAUAAUUAUUUCUUAUCCUGCCUAUCAGUCGCUGCAAGGUUUUUUGGUAUAUGUGUGUAUAACUGAUGCAAAGCUAUCCAAUCAGAUCUUGGUCUUGUGUGUAAAACAAUCAAUCCUUCUGUUGUGUGUAAUCAAUGUGAAGCAAUGAAAUAAACUUGCUACAUGUUGCUUACGAGGCACCAUGUAGUUUGUUUGUUUGAUUUGAUUUGUUUGUUUGUUUGAUUUGGAGCAGACCUGGACCCCAUGCCCAAGCUCACGAGGUCACCGUUGAGUCCGACCUCCACCUCGAUCAUGACGACGACGACCCGCACAAGGUCGAUCCCUACUUUACCACAAAUAUGUUCUUUCUUUUGUGAAGUAACAGUUCCUUGCUUUGUGUAAUGUUAAGAAACUGUUUGUUGAGACAACAAUUAUUCUCUCCCGGCUACAGGAACUGUUUAUAUGCAUUUGCUUAGGCUUGGAGCAUAACUCAUAAAUCAGUUACCUGUUUUGCGUAUCCUAUGAAUUUGAGCCUUAUCUGUUUGCUAUUUCUCCAUCUCAAAUCUCCAUCAGUAAGCUAAAAAAAGACUAGCUAGCUAAUCCUCUGUAAUUAGCUUGCUUCCCCCAUCUCACGCUGAAACCCUAGCUCUUCCCUUGGUGACGGAGAGGCUCACAUCAUGGAUCCUCUCCUCGAAGACAUCAACGGCCAAGGAAGGAGAAGCUGCUGCAUAGGUGCCAUCCUGUAGCCAUGGACGGCACUCAUAGCAUGUGCGAAGUCUGCUCCUUCCCCGCAUGGCUAGUUAGCACUUCUCCCGCCCAUGGAAGCAGCAGGCACCCUCCGCCGAUGACCUGGACCCCAUGCCCAAGCUGACGAGGAGGACAUCGUCGAGUCUGACGUCCACCUCGACCAUGAUGACGCCCCGCACAAGUUCAACUACUUGGUCGGUUGCCACUACUCUCUGCCUGAUGACCGGUUAUGGGCGAUCGGCAGAACAAGUGAGUUGACACUAGGUUACUUCCCUGUAAAAAACGAUCCCGCCGGAGGGCGGAGGCUGUCCUGGAAGGAGGCCACACAUGAGUUAUGAGGACCAUAUGCCUAGGUGGAAGCAGUCUUGAGAACCUUGGCCAAAACAAGGAAGUUUGAGAAGGCUAGUGGUAUGAGGAACAACCAUGGCUUCAAGGUUUAACUCAUGUAUGUGUACCAUCCAUGAUAUGCACUUACAUCCGGAUCUCUGUUGGUCUAUGCUUGUAGUUCCGACUUGAGCGGUAUGCCGUUUCCCAUCACACACAUGGAGCGGUCUUGUUCUUUUUGUUAUAUGUUGUGUAUGCUCGCCUCAUUCCUGAAAUUCCAACUACAUAUAUGUGGUCUGUGUACCAUCCAUGAUAUGCACUUACAUCCGGAUCUCAUGCUGAUCUUGUGUUUGUUUCCAAUGAUGCCCUCCUACUCUUGGGAGACCCUUUGUCGCCUACAUUGAUCGUGGUUGUUGUUUAUCAUAUUAAGAAAAUUGGUUUGUCAUGUGCCCUCAAAACAACUUGAUGAUAUGUAUGCAUCUUUUUAUGUCCAAACAGACUUUCCAUCAGAG